UUUUCCUUGGAGAAAGCAACUUAAAGGAUUAACUCCUCUGGUAAACCGUAGGGAAAAAAUGCUUUUGAUAUCCCUUCCUCACUUCCCUUUAAAUUUAAGUGGUAUUACAUUCAGCUUGGCUGUUAGAUCUCCUCUGGGAAACCAGUUCAAGUCUAGAAUGCUAUCUUUCUGAAAAGAGUUAUAGCAAUUCUUUACUAAUAUGAUUUUGUUGUAACUCCAUCGUCGCCAGGAGGCCCUGUCGUGUCAGGAUACCCGAGUGUGAGUAGCAGGAGCGCGACAACUCAACACAACUAACGGCAUUGCAGUGAGACGAAAGAUGGACGAUGGAAGCGAAAGAGAGCAGUCAUGCUUUCUACUAAGACGUAUUAAUAGAUGGCGAACCUGUUAACUUCUCAAUUAUAACUCUUUUUUUCAUUUGUAAACACUCAUCACUGUAUCUCCAUCAAUAACUAAAUAAAUACUUAGUCACCUAAA